rnacentral:rRNA from 1 species
GACGAACGCUGGCGGCGUGCCUAAUACAUGCGAGUAGAACGCACAGUUUAUACCGUAGCUUGCUACACCAUAGACUGUGAGUUGCGAACGGGUGAGUAACGCGUAGGUAACCUGCCUGGUAGCGGGGGAUAACUAUUGGAAACGAUAGCUAAUACCGCAUAAUAUUAAUUAUUGCAUGAUAAUUAAUUGAAAGGUGCAAUUGCACCACUACCAGAUGGACCUGCGUUGUAUUAGCUAGUAGGUGAGGUAACGGCUCACCUAGGCGACGAUACAUAGCCGACCUGAGGGGGUGAUCGGCCACACUGGGACUGAGACACGGCCCAGACUCCUACGGGAGGCAGCAGUAGGGAAUCUUCGGCAAUGGACGAAAGUCUGACCGAGCAACGCCGCGUGAGUGAAGAAGGUUUUCGGAUCGUAAAGCUCUGUUGUAAGAGAAGAACGGGUGUGAGAGUGGAAAGUUCACACUGUGACGGUAUCUUACCAGAAAGAGACGGCUAACUACGUG